CAUGCAAGUCGAACGGCAGCGCGGGGCAACCUGGCGGCGAGUGGCGAACGGGUGAGUAAUAUAUCGGAACGUACCCAGAAGUGGGGGAUAACGUAGCGAAAGUUACGCUAAUACCGCAUACGAUCUACGGAUGAAAGUGGGGGACCUUCGGGCCUCAUGCUUUUGGAGCGGCCGAUAUCUGAUUAGCUAGUUGGUGAGGUAAAGGCUCACCAAGGCGACGAUCAGUAGCUGGUCUGAGAGGACGACCAGCCACACUGGAACUGAGACACGGUCCAGACUCCUACGGGAGGCAGCAGUGGGGAAUUUUGGACAAUGGGCGCAAGCCUGAUCCAGCAAUGCCGCGUGAGUGAAGAAGGCCUUCGGGUUGUAAAGCUCUUUUGUCAGGGAAGAAACGGUUGGGGCUAAUAUCCCCGGCUAAUGACGGUACCUGAAGAAUAAGCACCGGCUAACUACGUGCCAGCAGCCGCGGUAAUACGUAGGGUGCAAGCGUUAAUCGGAAUUACUGGGCGUAAAGCGUGCGCAGGCGGUUUUGUAAGUCUGUCGUGAAAGCCCCGGGCUCAACCUGGGAAUUGCGAUGGAGACUGCAAGGCUUGAAUCUGGCAGAGGGGGGUAGAAUUCCACGUGUAGCAGUGAAAUGCGUAGAGAUGUGGAGGAACACCGAUGGCGAAGGCAGCCCCCUGGGUCAAGAUUGACGCUCAUGCACGAAAGCGUGGGGAGCAAACAGGAUUAGAUACCCUGGUAGUCCACGCCCUAAACGAUGUCUACUAGUUGUCGGGUUUUAAUUAACUUGGUAACGCAGCUAACGCGUGAAGUAGACCGCCUGGG
rnacentral:rRNA from 1 species